AGGCAUGCAAGUCAAACGGGGAUCACAUUUGCUGGAGAUUGCGAUUACAUCAAGGUCAAAGGCGCGUGAUCCUAGUGGCAGACGAGUUAGUAACACGUAGGAACUUCCCCUCGAGUCGAGAAUAAUCCAUCGAAAGGUGGACUAAUACUCGAUAGUCUCUUCGGAGUAAAGGAGCAAUUCGCUUGAGGAAAGGCCUGCGGGCUAUCAGCUAGUUGGUAGGGUAAUAGCCUACCAAGGCGAUGACGGCUAGGGGACCUGAGAGGGUGACCCCCAACAAUGGAACUGAGAUACGGUCCAUACACCUACGGGUGGCCGCAGUCAAGAACCUUCCGCAAUGGGCGAAAGCCUGACGGAGCGACGCCGCGUGAUGGAUGAAGUCCCUCUGGGACGUAAACAUCUUUUAUGAAGGAGAAAGUACGAUCGUUCGCGUUCGUAUUGAUAGUACUUCAUGAAUAAGGGGUUGCUAAACUCGUGCCAGCAGCAGCGGUAAUACGAGUGCCCCAAGCGUUAUCCGGAAUCAUUGGGCGUAAAGGGUGUGUAGGCGGCGUUGUUAGUCUCCUGUUAAAAUCUUGGGCUUAACCCAAGACUCGCAGGGGAAACGGCAAUGCUCGAGGGUGCGAGAGGUGAAUGGAACUCAUGGAGUAGGGGUGAAAUCCGUUGAUAUCAUGGGGAACACCGAAAGCGAAGGCAAUUCACUGGCGCACUCCUGACGCUGAAACACGAAAGCGUGGGUAGCGAACGGGAUUAGAUACCCCGGUAGUCCACGCCCUAAACGAUGACAACUAGCUUUUGGGGGAAUCGACCCCCUCAGAGGCGUAGCUAGCGCGUUAAGUUGUCCGCCUGGGUAGUACGGCCGCAAGGCUAAAACUCAAAGGAAUAGACGGGGACUCGCACAAGCGGUGGAUUAUGUGGCUUAAUUCGACGGUAAACGAAGAACCUUACCAAGGUUAGAAACCCAACUGCAUUUUCUCCGAAAGGAGAUUAGCCUUCGAGGGUGUUGGGCAGGUGAUGCAUGGUUGUCGUCAGUUCGUGGCUUGAGCUGUUCCCUUCAGUGGGGUAACGAACGCAACCCCCGUUGCCUGUUGCCUAUAUGGUCAGGCGAAACUGCUCCCUCACGGGAGAGGAAGGUGGGGAUGACGCCAAAUCAGCAUGUCCCUCUGAUACCUUGGGCUGCACACAUAAUACAAUCGUCGGUACAGCGGGACGCAAGACCGUAAGGUGGAGCAAAUCCCUUAAAACCGUCGCCAGUACGGAUCGAGGUCUGCAACCGACCUCGUGAAGCCGGAAUCGCUAGUAAUCCCGGGUCAGCUAAACCGGGGUGAAUACGUUCUCGAGUCUUGUACUCACCGCCCGUCAAGUCAGGGGAGCUGGGGGCGCCCGAAGGGCCGUCUUGUACGGUACUACGGCGAAUUCAGUAACAAGGACU
rnacentral:rRNA from 1 species